UUAGUGGCGGACGGGUGAGUAACGCGUGGAAAACCUGCCGUAUACUGGGGGAUAACACUUAGAAAUAGGUGCUAAUACCGCAUAAGCGCACAGCUUCGCAUGAAGCGGUGUGAAAAACUCUGGUGGUAUACGAUGGUUCCGCGUCUGAUUAGCUAGUUGGUGGGGGUAAUGGCCUACCAAGGCAACGAUCAGUAGCCGGCCUGAGAGGGUGAACGGCCACAUUGGGACUGAGACACGGCCCAAACUCCUACGGAAGGCAGCAG
rnacentral:rRNA from 1 species